rnacentral:lncRNA from 10 species
UGGAAAGGUAAUGCGUUCCUGCUAAAUCAUGGACAAAACGGGCUUCCAGGAGCUACAGGCUGCAGCAGCAGCUUCUCCUCUACGUCCUUCACUGCCUCAUACUGUUGUUGACUUUGAAAGCUUUUUUCAGUCUAGUUUUAUCAACAGAGCUAGUAUUUUCAUGAGGUUCUACUACAUACCAGGUUCCAGAAAGCUAAAUGCCUUUUGUUUGUUAUUAUUCACUAAAUAGAAAUCACAACUCUCUCCUCAUUACUCACACAACAAAAUUUAGCUGAGGGAGACUGAGUGACUGUCCCAGGGUCACACAGCUACUAAGAGCAGAGUCAUGUUUAGAUUCAUGUGGGAAUACUGAACACAGACAUGAACCAGUGGAAACAUCCUACGUUCCAAAAGCCUACUCAAGCCAUUUGUUCUUAUUUUAAGGAAAAUCUUUAUGCUAAUUUUAAACUCCAAAUACUUAUGAAUGGCAGAGAUCUACAGAUUUGAUUCUGAUGUAAGAAAUGAUGGUCACCAGCUGGUUACUGCU